GGCUUGUCUGAGUCCUGAGCCAGCAGAGCUCAGGCCACAGCACCUGCACCCGUUUUCUGCUGCUGCACACAAGGGCUCUGUGCAUUCCGCAUCCAGAAGAUCUUAGAUUAGUAAGAUCAUGUUGGCCAUGGCAUGGAGAAUGGGCUGGAGGUGGAGAGACUGGAGGUUGGAAGUCCAGUUAGGAGAUUGCUCCUGCGCUGGGGAGUUGGUGUUAGGACAGAAGAUCCAAGACACAUUUCAGAGAGCCCCUCUUCUUGGGCCUGCGAUUCCUCACCUGGAAGGGAGAAGAGUGGACUUCCUGCCUAGAGAACACCUUGUGGCUCCCUUUGAAGAACUGCCUUGGGGUUCAUGUUGCAGCAUCAAACAGGGAUGGAAGAUGCAUCUUGCUUUAGCAGCAGGAGCCUGGAAAGCAGCUGAAGCCCUGGAGGGUGCCUGGCACACAGAAUCUUGUGCUGAGCCUGGAGCACAAUGGGAGCGGGCUGGCAGGGUGGGUUCACAGCUGGACUGGGAGCAGCAGACAUACAGGCCGUAGGCACAGACAUAUAAAGACAGUCAUGCAGAUUGCAGGAUGCCUGAGAGCACAGACUCUCACAUGCACAAAUACGUGCGUGAUCGCCAGUGUGCAUCCAGACAGCCCCACAUGCAUGCACACGCAUGCACACAUGUGAUGUGUACAUAGAUGGACACAUGUCUAUGCCCACAAACACUGCAGAGACACACACAGAAGUGUCUGGCAAGGAACACUAUUUUGUCCUCAAUUUUCUGCCAGUGAGAGUCUACUGACUCCAUCUCUGAAAUGUCUCUACUUAUUGUCCCUCUUCUCCACCUGCGCCACAUCCCUAGUCCCUGAAACUCCCACCGAGACCCCUGGGCAAU
rnacentral:lncRNA from 1 species